GUAAAGGCAGUGAAGGAGACUCUGUUUUAAAGAAUCCGACAGAAAGAUGCGGUCACCGGCUGAGAGCCGCGUCAGGAGGGAAUAAAACAAUAGGGAACACUCCGGAGCCGGACGCCCGAAACAAGCUUCAAAGUAGGCCGUCACGUGUAUGCGCGUUAAGCAUAAAAGAGAGUGAGAAGAUAUAAGCGCUGCUUUACUUUUCAAAUGCGGGUGGUACCGCGGGAAUAUCCCGUCCCGGAA
rnacentral:ncRNA from 1 species